AAAAAAUUCUAGUAAGGACAGAUCAUUAUGUUCAUUAUCAUUGUACCUUAAAUGUCAGGUGCUGUCUUCCUUUGUCAAUGCCCAUCACUGCUACUAGCUCAUAUGAUCACGUGGUCACCCCAUUAAAUAGCAGGGUAGAUGAGUAAGUUGAGGCUAAGCUUUCUGGGACUGAAAUUUUUCCUUUGUCAAAAUCGGGUGAAUAUCCAAUUUCCUAUUCAAACGUUAAUAUAAUAUGGGCUGAGGUUAGAAUUAUCCAUUCCCACCCCCACCCAUUGGCUGGAUAGAUAAACCUCUCAAAGGAGAAAACUGGAAGUGAAAUGAGGUACAUUUAAAUUUUAAUCUCUGGCUUGAUAGAUUGGUAUCAAAUUUGUCUUUAAUGACUUUUAUCCUACAUUCCUAUCUUAUUACAGUCAGCUGCAGAAAAACCAACAAUCCCGAAUGUACCUUAAUGGGCACAGGAGGAUUAAAUAAUGCAUGAGGGAUGUGCUGACAAGUCUGUCAGACUUAAACUUUGGAACAUGCAGAACAUGCCUCAGAGUCUCAGGAGCAAUGGGCCGGAUGAGAGGUUCAAGUGAGUUUUGUGCCUCAGCCUCUGGAGUACCCGGGAUUACAGAUGCGCACCACCACACCUGGCUAAUUUUUGUAUUUUCAGUAGAGACGGGAUUUCACCAUGUUGGCCAGGCGGGCUUUUUUCCAUUUUCAAUCUUGGAAAUUAUUCUAUAUCAGUAUUCUCAGUGCCUCAUUCUUUGAACUGUACCAUGUUUUCUUUAUGGUUAAACUCUCUGGGGACAUGGAGGUUGUUUCUAAUGUUGUUAUUGUAAACAGCAUCUAUUUAGCCAAUACUUUCCCAUAGUCACUUUGUGCCAGACUCUUCAGUGAAUAUCCUUGUAUUUAGGUCAUCUCUUGGAGUUCUGCUACUUUUCUGCUAUCCUUGUGUAAAUCGUAUCCAACACAAAGUAAGUGUAUUCAUUGUAGUUAUAAUUUUCAUAUCCCUAAUUGUACAUGAAUUUGAGCAUCUUCUCAAUCGUCUACUUUGCUAUUAGGUUAAUGACCUUUGACUCAUUGAUUUAUCAAUUCUUUCAGAAUUAUGUGUAUGCCCUUUGCUUUUGAUAUGCAUUGAAAAUAAUGUCCUGGUUUGUAAUUUGUCAUUUCAUUUUGUUUAUUAUUUUUCUCACCCUGAGGAUAUUUUUAUUAUUAUGCAAUCAAAUUUAUCAAUCCUUUUUAUAUGACUCCUAGGUUUUGUGUCCUACUUGGAAAAAGAGAUCUUAUUG
rnacentral:lncRNA from 1 species